ensembl:misc_RNA Y_RNA Y RNA
GGCUGGUCCGAUGGCAGUGGGUUAUCAGAACUUAUUAACACUAGUGUCACUAAAGUUGGUAUACCACCCCCCCACUGCUAAAUUUGACUGGCUUUAA